rnacentral:rRNA from 1 species
UGCGUAGGCGGUUUAUUAAGUCAGUGGUGAAAGACGGUCGCUCAACGAUUGCAGUGCCAUUGAUACUGGUAGACUUGAGUGUGAUUGAGGUAGCUGGAAUGGAUAGUGUAGCGGUGAAAUGCAUAGAUAUUAUCCAGAACACCGAUUGCGAAGGCAGGUUACUAAGUCAUAACUGACACUGAGGUGCGAAAGCAUGGGGAGCAAACAGGAUUAGAUACCCUAGUA